UACGUAGGGUGCAAGCGUUAAUCGGAAUUACUGGGCGUAAAGCGUGCGCAGGCGGUUGUGCAAGACAGAUGUGAAAUCCCCGGACUCAACCUGGGAACUGCAUUUGUGACUGCACAGCUUGAGUGCGGCAGAGGGAAGCGGAAUUUCCGGUGUAGCGGUGAAAUGCGUAGAUAUCGGAAGGAACACCAGUGGCGAAAGCGGCUUCCUGGUCCAGCACCGACGUCAGGCACGAAAGCGUGGGGAGCAAACAGG
rnacentral:rRNA from 1 species